UACGUAGGGUGCAAGCGUUAAUCGGAAUUACUGGGCGUAAAGCGUGCGCAGGCGGUGAUGUAAGACAGAUGUGAAAUCCCCGGGCUCAACCUGGGAACUGCAUUUGUGACUGCAUCGCUGGAGUGCGGCAGAGGGGGGAUGGAAUUCCGCGUGUAGCAGUGAAAUGCGUAGAUAUGCGGAGGAACACCGAUGGCGAAGGCAAUCCCCCUGGGCCUGCACUGACGCUCAUGCACGAAAGCGUGGGGAGCAAACAGG
rnacentral:rRNA from 1 species